GUGUUUUGGUCUGAGGCCGGAUUUGAACUCAGACAAUAGAAAUUGACCUCUUUCUGGCCUAGAAGGUUCAUGGAUUUUUGAAAUGAAUGGGAAUUAAAUACAACCCUUUUUUGACUGAUAAAGAACUGAGCCUAGAAGGAGAAGUGCCGGAAUUCCUACAAGAAACAGCAGAACUGGGAUUCGGACCCAGGUCCUUUGAAUUCUGAUCUCUGAUGCUUUCUCUUGUGCCACGUUGAAUCUUCUUCUGAGGUAGCCUUUGAACAUGUGGGAGAUAAUGCCGAAGCUUCCCAAAGAUUAAGAAGCAGAACACUGGCUGAGAAAAUGUCAGACACAAAUAUGCAGAUUAUGUUUGUAGAGGCAGCAAUGCUUGAGUCAUUAAAAAGUUGUAAAAAAGAC